rnacentral:tRNA from 2 species
CGCGGGGUGGAGCAGCCUGGUAGCUCGCAAGGCUCAUAACCUUGAGGUCCUGGGUUCAAAUCCCAGCCCCGCAACCA